UACAGAGGGUGCAAGCGUUCAUCGGAAUUACGGGGCGUAAAGCGCGCGUAGGCCGUCGAGUAAGUCGGAUGUGAAAUCCCCGGGCUUAACCUGGGAAUUGCAUUCGAUACUGCUUGGCUAGAGUGUGGAAGAGGGAAGCGGAAUUUCCGGUGUAGCGGUGAAAUGCGUAGAAAUCGGAAGGAACCCCAGUGGCGAAAGCGGCUUCCUGGUCCACCACUUACCAUGAGGCGCGAAAGCGUGGGGAGCGAACAGG
rnacentral:rRNA from 1 species